rnacentral:rRNA from 1 species
AACACAUUGAAAUGGAAUCAUUAUGAUGUCAAAGGAGGAAUCCGGUAUAAGAUGGGCCCGCGUCCAAUUAGCUAGUUGGUGAGGUAACGGCUCACCAUUGCGACGAUUGGUAGCCGAACUGAGAGGUUGAUCGGCCACAUUGGGACUGAGACACGGCCCAGACUCCUACGGGAGGCAGCAGUGGGGAAUAUUGCACAAUGGGGGAAACCCUGAUGCAGCAACGCCGCGUGAAGGAUGAAGGUCUUCGGAUUGUAAACUUCUUUGAUUGGGGAAGAAGAAGUGACGGUACCCAAAAAACAAGCCACGGCUAAACUACGUGCCAGCAGCCGCGGUAAUACGUAGGUGGCAAGCGUUGUCCGGAAUUACUGGGUAUAAAAGGGCGUGUAGGCGGGGAUGCAAGUCAGGUGUGAAAGCCCAUGGCUCAACUGUGGGACUGCAUCUGAAACUGAAUCUCUUGAGUACUGGAGAGGGAAGUGGAAUUCCUAGUGUAGCGGUGAAAUGCGUAGAGAUUUAGGAGGAACACCAGUGGCGAAGGCGGCUUCCUGGACAGUAACUGACGCUGAGGCGCGAAAGCGUGGGGAGCGAACAGGAUUAGAUACCCUGGUAGUCCACGCCGUAAACGAUGGAUACUAGGUGUAGGAGGUAUCGACCCCUUCUGUGCCGGAGUUAACACAUUAAGUAUCCCACCUGGGGAAUACGACCGCAAGGUUGAAACUCAAAGGAAUUGACGGGGGCCCGCACAAGCAGUGGAGUAUGUGGUUUAAUUCGAAGCAACGCGAAGAACCUUACCAGGGCUUGACAUCCCUUGACAGCUCUAGAGAUAGAGUUUCCCUUCGGGGCAAGGAGACAGGUGGUGCAUGGUUGUCGUCAGCUCGUGUCGUGAGAUGUUGGGUUAAGUCCCGUAACGAGCGCAACCCUUAUUGUUAGUUGCCAGCAAGUAAAGUUGGGCACUCUAACGAGACUGCCGGUGAUAAAUCGGAGGAAGGUGGGGAUGACGUCAAAUCAUCAUGCCCCUUAUGUCCUGGGCUACACACGUACUACAAUGGCUGGUACAGAGGGGAGCUAAGCCGCGAGGUGGAGCCAAUCCCCAAAACCAGUCCCAGUUCGGAUUGCAGGCUGCAAUUCGCCUGCAUGAAGUGGGAAUUGCUAGUAAUGGCAGGUCAGCAUACUGCCGUGAAUACGUUCCCGGGCCUUGUACACACCGCCCGUCACACCAUGAGAGUUUGCAACACCCGAAGUCAGUAGUCUAACUUAUGAGGACACUGCCGAAGGUGGGGCGGAUGAUUAGGG